rnacentral:rRNA from 1 species
AUUGAACGCUGGCGGCAGGCUUAACACAUGCAAGUCGAGCGGAGAUGAGGUGCUUGCACCUUAUCUUAGCGGCGGACGGGUGAGUAAUGCUUAGGAAUCUGCCUAUUAGUGGGGGACAACAUUCCGAAAGAAAUGCUAAUACCGCAUACGCCCUACGGGGGAAAGCGGGGGAUCUUCGGACCUCGCGCGAUUGGAGUGGCCGAUGUCAGAUUAGCUAGUUGGUGGGGUAAAGGCCUACCAAGGCAACGAUCUGUAGCUGGUCUGAGAGGCUGAUCAGGCACACUGGGACAGAUGCACCGCCCAGACUCCGACGUGAGGCAGCAGUGGGGAAUUUUGGACACUGGGGGCAACCCUGCUCCAGCCAUUCCGCGUGAGUGAAGAAGGCGUUCGGGUAGUAAAGCUCUUUCGGCAGGAACGAAACGGCGAGCUCUAACAUAGCUUGCUAAUGACGGUACCUGAAGAAGAAGCACCGGCUAACUACGUGUCAGCCGCCGCCGUAACAC